rnacentral:rRNA from 1 species
GACGAACGCUGGCGGCGUGCUUAAUACAUGCAAGUCGAACGGAAAGGCCCUGCUUUUGUGGGGUGCUCGAGUGGCGAACGGGGGAGUAACACGUGAGUAACCCGCCCUUGUCUGUGGGAGAACUUCAGGAAACUGGGGCUAUUACAGGAUAGGAUCUCCUGCAGCACGUUGGGGGUUGGAAAGUGUCGGCGGUAGUGGAUGGACUCGCGGCUUAUCAGCUUGUUGGUGGGGUAGGGGCUUCCCACGUCUUUGACGGGUAGCAGGCCUGGGAGGGUAGCCGGCCACAUUGGGCCUGCGAUACGGCCCAGACUCCUACGUGCGGCAGCAGUGGGGAAUAUUGCGCAAUGGGCGCAAGCCUGAUGCAGCAACGCCGCGUGCGGGAUGCCGGCCUUCGAGUUGUAAACCUCUUUCUCCUGUGACGAGGCGUGAGUGACGGUAAUGAGUAAAGAAGCACCGGCUAACUACGUG